AUCUGAAUGCGGAAGGGACGUGGUCCCAAUAUUCAAUUUUUCUUGCAGGCAUGUUGUGUGUUAUAUAUAUUGGGUUGUUUGUUUAUAUGUUAUUUAAAUUUGUAAAAAUAUUAUAUUUUGAUGGUUUAAUAUUUAAGUAUUGUUUUUUAUUUUAAUUACGUUUUUGAAUGUUGUGGAUCGUGUUUGGAAUGAUAUUGUAUUGACGG
rnacentral:lncRNA from 1 species